AUUGAACGCUGGCGGCAUGCCUUACACAUGCAAGUCGAACGGUAACGCGGGGCAACCUGGCAACGAGUGGCGAACGGGUGAGUAAUAUAUCGGAACGUGCCCAGUUGUGGGGGAUAACUGCUCGAAAGAGCAGCUAAUACCGCAUACGACCUGAGGGUGAAAGCGGGGGAUCGCAAGACCUCGCGCAAUUGGAGCGGCCGAUAUCAGAUUAGGUAGUUGGUGGGGUAAAGGCUCACCAAGCCAACGAUCUGUAGCUGGUCUGAGAGGACGACCAGCCACACUGGGACUGAGACACGGCCCAGACUCCUACGGGAGGCAGCAGUGGGGAAUUUUGGACAAUGGACGCAAGUCUGAUCCAGCCAUGCCGCGUGCGGGAAGAAGGCCUUCGGGUUGUAAACCGCUUUUGUCAGGGAAGAAACGCUCUGGGUUAAUACCUCGGGGUAAUGACGGUACCUGAAGAAUAAGCACCGGCUAACUACGUGCCAGCCGCCGCAGUAAAAC
rnacentral:rRNA from 1 species